rnacentral:tRNA from 1 species
GAGGUUGUGGCUUAGAGGUAGAGCGCUCGCCUAGCGUGCGCGAGGUCCUGGGUUCGAUCCUCAGCACCACA